GGCAAGACCGUGGACCGUGGAGGGCUGGUGUCUGAGCACAUGACUUUGGGACUUCAGUAACUUCGGAAGAAUCACUUAGAAUGCAACAACGAACAAUCACACACACACACAAAAACAACUUACAAAUAAUGUUAAGCAAACAGGUAAACGGGGCCUCGGGUGAAGGAGGAGGGCGUGAGCUUCCUGUCUCGCUUUAAGCUUUGCGGAAGCAAGCGACACAUGGAAGAGGCACCGCUUGCAGAGAAACCCACACAUCUAGCGGCCUUCUGACCCAGAAGCAUGAAGACAGAGGUAGAGAAGAGCUCCUUCAUAGGUAGGGCUGUUUUUACUCGCUAAUGGGCAGGGCGCCCAGGCGCUGAGCUGAGGGGGGGCCCCUGAGGCAUGCUGUCCUCAUCUCGCACCCCCAGCCUGUCAUGGCCCUACCGGGGCCAUAUUUGCAUCAUCCCAGCUCCAUCGCAGGCUAUUCAAACUCCCCUUAUGAAAAUUCACUAUGGUUUCCUAUGGUUUUUAUGCAGUAACCAUAGUUUUACUAUGGUAUCUCAUGGUAGUACCCAUAGUG